GAUGAACGCUGGCGGCGUGCCUAAUACAUGCAAGUCGAGCGAACAGACGAUGAUCUUGCUGCUCUGACGUUUGCGGCGGACGUGUGUGUAACACGUGUAUAAUCUACCUAUAAUUCUGAUAUAUUUUCGGGACACCGGAUCUUAUAGCGGAUAAUAUAUUGAUCCGUAUUGUUGGUUAGUAAAAUACGGUUUUUCUGUCACUUAUCGAUGGAUCCGGGCCGUAUUAGGUAGUUGGUAAGUUAACGGCUUACCAAGGCAACGAUGCGUAGCCGACGUGAGAGGGUGAUAGGCCACACGGGAACUGAAACACGGUCAAGACGACUAAGGGAGGCAGCAGUAGGGAAUCUUCCGCAAUGGGCGAAAGCAUGACGGAGCAACGCCGAGUGAGUGAUGAAGGUCUUCGGAUCGUAAAAAUCUGUUAUUAGGGAAGAACAAAUGUGUAAGUAAAUAUGCACGUAUUGACGGUACCUAAUAAGAAAGCCACGGCUAACUACGUG
rnacentral:rRNA from 1 species